CUACGGGAGGCAGCAGUGAGGAAUAUUGCACAAUGGGGGAAACCCUGAUGCAGCAACGCCGCGUGGAGGAUGACGCAUUUCGGUGUGUAAACUCCUUUUAUGAGUCAAGAAAAUGACGGUAGCUCAUGAAUAAGCACCGGCUAACUCCGUGCCAGCAGCCGCGGUAAUACGGAGGGUGCAAGCGUUACUCGGAAUCACUGGGCGUAAAGGACGCGUAGGCGGGCUUGUAAGUCAGGUGUGAAAUCCUACAGCUUAACUGUAGAACUGCACUUGAAACUACGAGCCUAGAGUAUGGGAGGGGCAGAUGGAAUUAGUGGUGUAGGGGUAAAAUCCGUAGAUAUCACUAGGAAUACCGAAAGCGAAGGCGAUCUGCUGGAACAUUACUGACGCUAAGGCGUGAAAGCGUGGGGAGCAAACAGGAUUAGAUACCCUCGUAGUC
rnacentral:rRNA from 1 species